rnacentral:rRNA from 1 species
AUUGAACGCUGGCGGCAUGCCUUACACAUGCAAGUCGAACGGCAGCGGGGGAGAAGCUUGCUUUUCCUGCCGGCGAGUGGCGAACGGGUGAGUAAUACAUCGGAACGUGCCCUGUAGUGGGGGAUAACUAGUCGAAAGAUUAGCUAAUACCGCAUACGACCUGAGGGUGAAAGUGGGGGACCGCAAGGCCUCAUGCUAUAGGAGCGGCCGAUGUCUGAUUAGUUAGUUGGUGGGGUAAAGGCCUACCAAGGCGACGAUCAGUAGCUGGUCUGAGAGGACGAUCAGUCACACUGGGACUGAGACACGGCCCAGACUCCUACGGGAGGCAGCAGUGGGGAAUUUUGGACAAUGGGCGAAAGCCUGAUCCAGCAAUGCCGCGUGUGUGAAGAAGGCCUUCGGGUUGUAAAGCACUUUUGUCCGGAAAGAAAUGGCUCUGGUUAAUACCUGGGGUCGAUGACGGUACCGGAAGAAUAAGGACCGGCUAACUACGUGCCAGCCGCCGCGGUAAAAC